GAUGUCAAAUCAUCAUGCCCUGUAUGCCCUGGGCUACACACGUACUACAAUGGCCGUGACAGAGGGAAGCAAUAUAGAGAUAUAGAGCAAACCCAAAAAGCGGUCAUAGUUCGGAUUGAAGGCUGAAAUUCGCCUUCAUGAAGCAGGAAUUGCUAGUAAUUGCAGGUCAGCAUACUGCAGUGAAUACGUUCCCGGGCCUU
rnacentral:rRNA from 1 species